rnacentral:rRNA from 1 species
GAUGAACGCUGGCGGCGUGCCUAAUACAUGCAAGUCGAGCGAACAGACGAGGAGCUUGCUCCUCUGACGUUAGCGGCGGACGGGUGAGUAACACGUGGAUAACCUACCUAUAAGACUGGGAUAACUUCGGGAAACCGGAGCUAAUACCGGAUAACAUGUUGAACCGCAUGGUUCAACAGUGAAAGACGGUUUUGCUGUCACUUAUAGAUGGAUCCGCGUCGCAUUAGCUAGUUGGUAAGGUAACGGCUUACCAAGGCAACGAUGCGUAGCCGACCUGAGAGGGUGAUCGGCCACACUGGAACUUAGCCACGGUCCAGACUCCUACGGGAGGCAGCAGUAGGGAAUCUUCCGCAGUGGGCGAAAGCCUGACGGAGCAACGCCGCGUGAGUGAAGAAGGUCUUCGGAUCGUAAAACUCUGUUAUUAGGGAAGAACAAAUGUGUAAGUAACUAUGCACGUCUUGACGGUACCUAAUCAGAAAGCCACGGCUAACUACGUG